AUUUAAAUAGCUUAUAUAGAGUAUGAUAUUGAAGAUAUCAGGGAGGUAGAAUUACCUUUAAAUA
rnacentral:tRNA from 1 species